UACGUAGGGUGCAAGCGUUAAUCGGAAUUACUGGGCGUAAAGCGUGCGCAGGCGGCUUUGCAAGACAGAUGUGAAAGCCCCGGGCUUAACCUGGGAAUUGCGCUUGAUACUCUGAGACUGGAGUACGGGAGAGGAGAGUGGAAUUCCCAGUGUAGAGGUGAAAUUCGUAGAUAUUGGGAAGAACACCAGUGGCGAAGGCGGCUCUCUGGACCGUAACUGACGCUGAGGCGCGAAAGCGUGGGGAGCAAACAGG
rnacentral:rRNA from 1 species